GUUAGUCUCUAAGGUGCCACAAGUACUCCUUUUCUUUUCGCCGUCGGGAAUGUAACUCAAAUACUUUCCUGAUGGACUGUUUUUUCCUCUAAAUGGACAACCAAUCCUAAAUUCUCAAUUACUGAGGGACAAUAUUCACUCAUUGAUAUAUUUUGCUUUCUGC